AGAGAUGCACUGGGUGUAAAGUGCUCGUAGGCGGUUUGUCGCGUCUGGUGUGAAAACUCGAGGCUCAACCUCGAGCUUGCAUCGGGUACGGGCAGACUAGAGUGCGGUAGGGAGACUGGAAUUCCUGGUGUAGCGGUGGAAUGCGCAGAUAUCAGGAGGAACACCGAUGGCGAAGGCAGGUCUCUGGGCCGCAACUGACGCUGAGGAGCGAAAGCAUGGGGAGCGAACAGGAUUAGAUACCCUGGUAGUCCAUGCCGUAAACGUUGGGCACUAGGUGUGGGGCUCAUUCCACGAGUUCCGUGCCGCAGCAAACGCAUUAAGUGCCCCGCCUGGGGAGUACGGCCGCAAGGCUAAAACUUAAAAAUUAGACGG
rnacentral:rRNA from 1 species